rnacentral:rRNA from 1 species
GGACUACAGGGGUAUCUAAUCCUGUUUGCUCCCCACGCUUUCGUGCCUCAGUGUCAGUAUCUGUCCAGAAGGUCGCCUUCGCCACAGAUGUUCCUUCCAAUAUCUACGCAUUUCACCGCUACACUGGAAAUUCCACCUUCCUCUACAGUACUCUAGCUAAACAGUAUUGAGCGCAAUCCCCAGGUUAAGCCCAGGACUUUCACACCCAACUUAUUCAACCACCUACGCACCCUUUACGCCCAGUAAUUCCGAUUAACGCUUGCACCCUCUGUAUUACCGCGGCUGCUGGCAC